UACGAAGGGGGCUAGCGUUGUUCGGAAUCACUGGGCGUAAAGCGCACGUAGGCGGACACUUAAGUCAGAGGUGAAAUCCCAAGGCUCAACCUUGGAACUGCCUUUGAUACUGGGUGUCUUGAGGUCGAGAGAGGUGAGUGGAACUGCGAGUGUAGAGGUGAAAUUCGUAGAUAUUCGCAAGAACACCAGUGGCGAAGGCGGCUCACUGGCUCGAUUCUGACGCUGAGGUGCGAAAGCGUGGGGAGCAAAC
rnacentral:rRNA from 1 species